AGCGAACGCUGGCGGCAGGCUUAACACAUGCAAGUCGAGCGGGCACUUUCGGGUGUCAGCGGCGGACGGGUGAGUAACGCGUGGGAACGUGCCCUCUGGUUCGGAAUAACUCAGGGAAACUUGAGCUAAUACCGGAUACGCCCUUUUGGGGAAAGGCUUGCUGCCGGAGGAUCGGCCCGCGUCUGAUUAGCUAGUUGGUGAGGUAACGGCUCACCAAGGCGACGAUCAGUAGCUGGUCUGAGAGGAUGACCAGCCACACUGGGACUGAGACACGGCCCAGGCUCCUACGGGAGGCAGCAGUGGGGAAUAUUGGACAAUGGGCGCAAGCCUGAUCCAGCCAUGCCGCGUGAGUGAUGAAGGCCUUAGGGUUGUAAAGCUCUUUUAUCCGGGACGAUAAUGACGGUACCGGAGGAAUAAGCCCCGGCUAACUUCGUG
rnacentral:rRNA from 1 species